CAGUACCGUGAGGGAAAGGCGAAAAGAACCCCGGCGAGGGGAGUGAAAAAGAACCUGAAACCGUGUACGUACAAGCAGUGGGAGCACAGGUUUACCUGUGUGACUGCGUACCUUUUGUAUAAUGGGUCAGCGACUUAUAUUCUGUAGCAAGGUUAACCGAAUAGGGGAGCCGGAGGGAAACCGAGUCUUAACCGGGCGUUAAGUUGCAGGGUAUAGACCCGAAACCCGGUGAUCUAGCCAUGGGCAGGUUGAAGGUUGGGUAACACUAACUGGAGGACCGAACCGACUAAUGUUGAAAAAUUAGCGGAUGACCUGUGGCUGGGGGUGAAAGGCCAAUCAAACCGGGAGAUAGCUGGUUCUCCCCGAAAGCUAUUUAGGUAGCGCCUCGUGAAUUCAUCUCCGGGGGUAGAGCACUGUUUCGGCUAGGGGGCCAUCCCGGCUUACCAACCCGAUGCAAACUGCGAAUACCGGAGAAUGUUAUCACGGGAGACACACGGCGGGUGCUAACGUCCGUCGUGAAGAGGGAAACAACCCAGACCGCCAGCUAAGGUCCCAAAGUCAUGGUUAAGUGGGAAACGAUGUGGGAAGGCCCAGACAGCCAGGAUGUUGGCUUAGAAGCAGCCAUCAUUUAAAGAAAGCGUAAUAGCUCACUGGUCGAGUCGGCCUGCGCGGAAGAUGUAACGGGGCUAAACCAUGCACCGAAGCUGCGGCAGCGA
rnacentral:rRNA from 1 species